CCAGACUCCUACGGGAGGCAGCAGUGGGGGAUAUUGCACAAUGGGGGGAACCCUGAUGCAGCGACGCCGCGUGGGUGAAGAAGCGCCUCGGCGCGUAAAGCCCUAUCGGCAGGGAAGAAGGAGGACGGUACCUGACUAAGAAGCCCCGGCUAACUACGUGCCAGCAGCCGCGGUAAUACGUAGGGGGCGAGCGUUAUCCGGAUUCACUGGGUGUAAAGGGAGCGUAGACGGCGACGCAAGUCUGGAGUGAAAGCCCGGGGCCCAACCCCGGGACUGCUCUGGAAACUGCGGCGCUGGAGUACGGGAGGGGCAGGCGGAAUUCCUGGUGUAGCGGUGAAAUGCGUAGAUAUCAGGAGGAACACCGGCGGCGAAGGCGGCCUGCUGGACCGUGACUGACGUUGAGGCUCGAGAGCGUGGGGAGCAAACAGGAUUAGAUACCCGCGUAAA
rnacentral:rRNA from 1 species